GGCUGUUUAUGUUUUUCUUCGCGGCAAGAAGGGCCGAAGGUUGGCAGUUCGGCUCACAGCUCCAUCAUAGUUUGCAGCGCAGCUCACAGCUCCUUCAUAGUCCGAAGGACUGGAAACUUGGUAUUCUGUGGAACUUUCACUCGCAAUGGAGCACUAAUUAACCCUCAUCUGCUACAGUAGCCUCAAGCCAUCGACACCAACGACAGACGUCGCAUACCAUCAACUGAUGUCUUGUACUAACAGUUUUAAGGAUGGAAAUUUCUUGAGUGAGUGGGACGGAAUUGGGGAGGAUUGGGAGAUCUGGUGUCAUCGGUCUUCUUCUACUUGAUAGAAUCCAGUCCAGACAACCAACAAGCAGUUACUGUUCACCUAUUCAGUCAUUUCUAAUAAAUAAGUUUGGAUUUUA